AUGGCUUGGCUCCCUUUCAGAACCACAGGGGCUCUGGCCAUUUUAACGGUGGUUCUUUUGGUUCAUGGAGAAUUGAGAAUACAGACAAAAGGACAAUACGAAGAAUAUGAGACAGCAAUACAACAAGGCAAAAGGAGAUACAAACGUGAGUGGGUGAAAUUCGCAAGACCCUGCAGAGAAGGAGAAGACAACUCGAACAGAAAUCCAAUUGCCAAAAUUACAUCAGACUUCGAAGCAACCCAAAAAAUUACCUACCACAUCUCUGGAAUAGGAAUUGAUCAGCCCCCUUUUGGAAUCUUUGUCAUUGACAAAAACACUGGAGAAAUUAACAUAACGGCCAUAGUUGAUAGAGAAGUAACCCCAAGCUUCCAGAUUACGUGUCGUGCUCUUAACACCCUAGGACAAGAGGUAGAAAAACCACUUAUACUAACGGUCAAAAUUUUAGAUAUAAACGACAAUGCUCCAGUAUUUUCACAAAGCAUAUUCCAGGGUGAAAUUGAAGAAAAUAGUGCUUCGAACUCACUGGUGAUGAUCCUAAAUGCCACAGACGCAGAUGAACCGAACCACUUGAACUCUAAAAUUGCCUUCAAAAUCAUCUCUCAGGAACCUGCAGGCACACCCAUGUUCCUCCUAAGCAGACACACGGGGGAAGUCCGCACUUUGACCAGUUCACUUGAUCGAGAGCAAGUUAGCAGCUAUCGCCUGGUUGUGAGUGGUGCAGACAGAGAUGGAGAAGGACUAUCAACUCAGUGUGAAUGUAGCAUUAAAGUGAAAGAUGUCAAUGAUAAUUUCCCAACACUCAGAGAAUCACAGUAUUUAGCACGUAUUAAAGAAAACACUUUAAGUUCUGAGUUGCUUCGAUUUCAAGUAAUAGAUUUGGAUGAAGAGUUCACUGAUAAUUGGCUUGCAGAGUUCUUCUUUACCUCUGGAAAUGAAGGGAAUUGGUUUGAAAUACAAACUGACCCCCAAACUAACGAAGGUAUCCUGCAAGUAGUUAAGUCUCUAGAUUAUGAACAAGUACAAAGCAUGCAACUUGGUAUCGCCGUCAAAAACAAAGCUGAAUUUCACCAAUCCGUAAUCUCUCAAUAUCAAGUCCAGUCAACCCCACUUAUAGUUGAAGUAAUAAAUGUGAGGGAAGGAAUUACAUUCCGUCCUUCUUCCAAGACAUUUAUUGUCCGAAAGGGCGUAAGUAGUAGACAGUUGAUCAAUUAUGUCCUGGGAACCUAUCAAGCCAUUGAUGAAGACACUGGCGAAGUUGCCUCAUUUGUCAGAUAUGUCUUGGGACGUAAUGAUGGUGGUUUGCUAACGAUUGAUUCAAAAACUGCUGAAAUCAAAUUUGUCAAAAACAUUGAUCGAGACGUCACUUUCAUAGUUAACAAGACAAUCACAGCUGAGGUUCUGGCCAUAGAUGAAAACACUGGUAAAACUUCUACAGGCACCAUAAUUGUCUAUGUACCUGAUUUUAAUGAAAAUUGUCCAACAAUUGCCCUGGAAAAGGAAGUAGUCUGUAGUUCAUCACCUUCCGUGGUUGUCAGAGCUUCACCACUGCAAAGGGAUAAAUAUGCUGGCCCCUAUGAAUUUUCGGUGGAAGGGCAAAGCGUAAAACUUCCAGUUGCAUGGAGUAUCUCAGGAACAGAUGCUACGUCCGCACUCCUCACAGCCCCACAGCCAGUCUCUCCCGGAGUGUACAGAAUCUCCGUCGUGGUCACGGACAGUGAGGGGAGGCGGUGCGAGACACCAGAGAGCUUGACCCUGGAAGUCUGCCAGUGUGACUACAGGGACAUCUGUCGAAAUGCGCCUCCGACCAGCAGCCCUCAUACAAUUAGAGAGGGGUCUCGGAUGGGGGCUGCUGCCAUCGGCCUGCUAUUCCUCGGCCUUUUGCUGCUGCUGCUGGCUCUCCUCCUGCUGCUGACCUGUGACUGUGGGGCAGGUCCUAUUGGGGGAGUGACCGGUGGAUUUGUCCCAGUGCCGGAUGGUUCAGAAGGAACAAUUCACCCGUGGGGAAUCGAAGGAGCCCAACCUGAAGACAAGGAAAUCACAAAUAUCUCUGUGCCACCUAUAACUGCCAAUGGAGUUGAUUUCAUGGAAAAUUCUGAAGUCUGUACAAAUACAUAUGCUGGAGGGACGGUGGUAGAAGGAGCUUCAGGAAUGGAACUGACCACCAGGCUUGGAGCAGCUGCAGGAUCUGGGGGUGCUGCAGGGUUCGGAGCAACCGCUGGUCUGAGCAACUUUUCCAUGGGGCAGUCUGGGACGAUGAGAACAAGGCAUUCCACGGGAGGAACCAACAAGGACUUUGGGGAAGGGGCAAUAAACAUGAAAUUCCUGGACUCCUACUUUUCUCAGAAAGCAUUUGCCUGUGCAGAUGAAGACGAUGGCCAGGAAGCAAAUGACUGCUUGCUGAUCUAUGAUAAUGAAGGAAUCGAGGCCCCCAGUUCUCCCGUCGGCUCCCUGGGUUGUUGCAGUUUUAUUGCCGACGAUUUUGACGAGAGCUUCUUGGACUCCCUCGGCCCCAAAUUUAAAAAGCUGGCCGAGAUAAGCCUCGGGAUGGAUGAAGAAACCAAAAACUCUCAGUCGCCUACCAAAGACAGCAGUUCUAGGGUUGACGCCUAUGACCAACAUGUACAAGUCCAGCAGUCAGAGUCUGUUAGGCACCAGACUUUGUCAGGCAGCCAGGGGGCAUCUGCACUGUCUGCUUCCAGCUCUGUCCUCCAGCCCGCCAUUUCCAUCGCUGACCCUUUGCAGCAUGGUAGCUAUCUGGUAACGGAGACUUACUCGGCUUCUUCUGGUUCCCUUGUGCAACCUCCUGCUGCCGUUUUUGAUCCACUUCUCACGCAAAAUGUGAUAGUGACAGAAAGAGUGAUUUGUCCGAUUCCUAGUAUUACUAGCAACCUACAUGGUCCUACAGAGCUACGAGGAUCAGGCAGUAAGAUCUUUACAGAAGAUCCUUCUUCCCGUCUGAUAUAAGCAGAGUGAACUGGAAUUACAUACUGGCCAAAUACAGAUACUUGAACCAAAUUAUCCAAAAUAGCACAGCAAAUCUCACAGUAUUGGUCUGAUUUGGCACUUAUUUGCUACUCUUUCAUAAACUGGUCAUGAUUACAGUCUAAAUUGUCUAGUUUAUAUCCCCACACUGGAUGUGUGGUCACUCUUCUCAAAUUCAAGUCCUAGCAGAUCUUAAAUGUUUUCUGAAAUAUCUUAAGAUCAUAUUCAGUGGGAAAUUUUCCUAAUAAUUUUUAGGAAAAAAUGCAGUGUGUUUUAGUGGAUUAAGGACUUGGAGUCAAGACCCCCAGUUCUUGAAUUUUUCACCUUUGCUUACAUCAUUAGUAAUGAUGUAAGAAUCAUAAAGUCUUCGCUAAAGCAUUUUGAGCUGCUUGGGGAAAAGAAAAUAAUUGCAUUUGAACUUCUUCCAUCUUCUUGGUGUUGGGAGACCCUAGGGACAUCUUUUGCUCAUGCUAAGGGUAUUGGUUUACACAUUAAACUUGCUGCAUCUAUAUUCUUCAUACUCUCACAAUAAGACAGUUUUGAAAUAAAAGUAUCAUAGGAAAUUUAGGAAAGUUCA
rnacentral:lncRNA from 1 species